UAUAAAGUGCCUGAAAAUAAAGGAUUAUUCUGAUAGAAUAAAUUAUAUAAAUAUAAAAUUUAUCUUUAUAA
rnacentral:tRNA from 1 species